AAAAAUACUUGCAUUUUUAUCGGUUUGACACCGUAAAUUGAAAUAAUAUUCAUGAAAUAUAAUGUAAUUAAUCUUAUAAUUAUUAAUAGAAAAUCGAUUCAGACGAGCUGUUAACGAGUAAGUAUAAGUGACUUGUCAAACCUUUCAAAAACUGAAUAACCAUUGUGGGCCUCAAACCUUUACUUCAGAGAACCAUGGAAGAGAUUUCAUGAUGCUGCUAAGAAUGGCGAUGUACAAAAAAUUGAAGAAUUAAUAAGGAAUGGAACGGAUGUCAAUAUCAAAAAUCGCGAUAAUGAAACGUCUUUAUACUUUGCGAGUCAAAAUGUGACUAUCAUCAUUUUCUUUGACGAUUCUAAUAUUAACCUGCCUGGCGUUCAC